UAUAAAGUUAGGUUAAAGUUAAUGUACUGUGGAAAAUGUGCUCCGAAAUAACCUAAAUUGAUUUCUUUAUUAUUUGAUUGGGUACUUUGUGAAUAAUAACCUAUCAGGUAUCAGGAUAUGGAGGAGGGGCGGGACAAGAAGCAGAAGGAGAGAAUAACGCACGAGUGAAGGGGAACAGCAGGUGUGAGAUGUCGGCGAGAAGUGUGAAUUGUUUAUAGAAUUGUGUACUUUAUAGUUCAUCUCGAGGAUAUUAGAGUGGACUUUGAACUGUGUUACUGCUGGCUAAGCGUGACCGCGAUGUUCGAGUAUAUUUAAAGUGCGUCACAGACGUGAACGGAAGAACCGCUGGCGGCGAGCCAGUGUCUUUAUCGUACGAGCUGAGGGAGAACGACACAACGGAUGUUCGGGAGUCUCGUGCGCUGUUGAACGGAGCGAGAGAAGCUGAGCUGCUGGAUCAAUAGAGAACCGCUGACGGCUGCUCGAGAGUGCGGCUCGCGAUUGAUGGAUUUCGAUUAACCUGACGGACUGUGACUGAUCCUGAUUGAAGAGAGCAACAUUUUCUAUAAAGGCUCUGGAAGCAGGCAGUGCUCAGAAAAACAGACUACCGACCAGACCCGCAAUUCUCCUUACUUCUGCGCUUUUUCUCCAGCAGUUUCUGCCACUUCUCCUCACGCAUACACGCCUCCUCUUCCUCCUGGUCCUGACAACACUUGUGGAAGUUCUCCACCAACACUCCCACAAACAAGUUCAGCACAAAAAGGCUGAUAAUCAGCAGGAAAGAGAUGAAGUAGAGGAGCAUCCAGGGGUUGUGAUUGCGCACAGGCUGCAGGCGUGAAGGACAUGUAGAGAGAAGACACAUCCAUCAUAUGACAAAUUAGAAAAGUUAUGUGAAUUUAUAAAUACGGAAACAGCACCGGCCAGAAUGAGGAAAGCAGAUCCAAACCUGCUGGUUCACCCCGACAGCGUCCAACCCGUCAUACAUUAUAUUGACCCAUCCGUCCUUACAGGAAAGCACGAACAGAGACACGAGAGCCUGCGGAAGAGAAACAGUAAAUGGCAAAACCAUCAUUUAUUCAGUGCAGUAACAGAGCUCAUAAUGACAGUCUGGGAAUCAUUUCAAACAAAUUACAGCAGAAAAUGUUUUCUGAAGGUCCUAUAAAAAUGAAAAGGCAACAUGACCUCACUCAGCCAAUCACUUUAUUAUGAUUCAAUGUGUCCAAACCAAUGAAUAAUGUCUAGUGAACAACAGUUACCUGUCCCAAGUUGUCAAAGUUGUACUUUCUCCGAAUCCAUUUGUAACCUUCAUCUUUACAUUCUUCCAUAUUGGUGAUGUUUUUGGUGUCAGCACCUUCACAAUGGUAAAACUUUCCUUUGAAGAGCUGUGAUAGAUAAUAUCGAUGCUGUGUUAUCUAAAAAAAACCCUCAUAUUUUUGUUGAAAAGCAUGUAUUGUGUAGCGGUUGAGGCAAUUACCUGAACUCCAAGAAUGCCAAAGACAAUAAAGAAGGCACAGCAGAUCAGCACAAUGUUCCCAAUGGGCCUCAGGGACGUUAUUAGCGUUUCCACCACCAGCUUCAGUCCAGGAGCACGACUAAUCACUCUAUUUAAGUGAAAAACAAAGACACAACCUAUUUCAGUCUGUGGAUUGCAGUAACAUUUAUGUAAUGGUACAAUAGACUGGGUGACCUUUAAGAUUGAUAAACCACCGCUUGGUCUUACCUCUAAAACAAAUUCAAGGAUAAUAGACUUUUGUUGAAUCGGAGCAAUGACUGUAUAGCGGAUUUCAUUGAUUGACCGUGCCUCAGACAGGCACGUUGUGACCUUUCGCUGACUCACCUUAGUGGCCGCAGAGUUCUCAGCAGGCGAAGAACCCUCAGGAUGCCAAGGAUUCGGUUUCCACCAGUGGAAGCCAGAGAGACCAGAAUGUAAAUGAGAGAGACAAAAACCAGCACCCCAUCAAGAACAUUCCAGGUGCUCUGCAGAUAACUGUGUUUCCCGGAGCAGAAGCCAAGGGCCACCACCUUUAACACAAGUCAUAUCACAUCAAUGUGAUUGUUUUGUGGAAUGAACACUCUUUGUACAUUAGAAAAAACAAAAUCAUACCUUCACAGUCAUUUCAGCAACAAAAAUCACAGUGAAAACAUAAUUUGAAAUACUGAGAAACAUUCUCUCCUGAAAUGAAAAACAGAAUGUAUCAUACAUCCAAUAAGCAUGAAAAUCUCAAAUAUUAAAUUCAGAUUGACUAUUAAGGAUGAGAUUUCACUAAAGCAAACUUACAGGUGGCUGUAUAGUGGGUCUUUCCAGAGCAAUAGUGAUGCAGUUUAAGAAGAUGAAUACCAAAACUGCAUAAUCAAACAUUUUGUGUGAAAUUAACCUCUGACAAAUCAUCCGAAACCUAGGACAGAAUUAUGUAACAGUUACAAAAGUGAACAUGAAACUUUGAAAGGACAAACUGGUCAGUAGACGAUAGGAGAUGGCAAAUGCUUACUUGUUCUGAGGCGAGAACAGAUAAAGGGACCAGUCCUCAUGAUCUUUACACCACUUAGGUUUAUAUGCUUCUAAUGUCCUCUUGAGACGGAGACAGAAACUCUGUAACACACAAGAGAGAGGCAUCAGCAAAUUGAAGAAGAACUACAGCUAAUUACUACAGCUCUAAAUUGUCUGGAGUUUAAAGUGUUUAGGGUAGAUAAGAACGUUAAUAGUCUUGAUUCAAUAUAUUAAUAAAUAGGGAUUCAAAUGGAUGCUUGUUUAAAUGUGAUGAAUUGCCAUUUAACUAACUAACUGUUUAUUUUGCAAAUAGGUUUUCUGUAAAACAGAUUUUGCACAAUUAAAAUCCACUUUGUCUCAA